UAAUCGAGUGCGCAUUUCACAGGUUGGGAGGACCAGCCAAUGAGAUCAUGCAAGGCCUGCCCAGGGGAGCUCAGUGACUAGAAGUUUUGGCAGGGGCCUGCAUGAGCCACAGGACUGGGGUCUGGCCCCUCUGCUUCUGGGUCUGAGAUAAAGUGCCCUGCAGGGUCCUGGACUCCUGAGAAGACCUGUAUGCAGAUAUGGACUUGGUGACUUAGCACUAUCAAUGGCAGAAAGUUGCUGAUUGUUACAAAGCAAGCCUCAUGGAAAUUGUCAAUGAAUUUCUUUUGUUGGAAAGUAUGAAAGU